GUUCCCGUUUCACUGCCAUGUUUUCUCCUACUAAUAGAUUUUUGUGGCCGUGAUUGUGGGAUUGAGUGAAAUUGCUGUGAUGUGAAGAGGGACAACUUCUUUGUGUCCUGCUCCUGUAUGGAAUGGCAGAAAAGGGAAAC